rnacentral:rRNA from 1 species
ACACGACUACAUUAGAUACCCGUGUAGUCCCAGCCCUAAACGAUGCGCGUUAGGUGUAUCGGUGACCACGAGUCACCGAGGUGCCGAAGGGAAACCGUGAAACGUGCCGCCUGGGAAGUACGGUCGCAAGGCUGAAACUUAAAGGAAUUGGCGGGGGAGCGCCACAACGGGUGGAGCCUGCGGUUUAAUUGGACUCAACGCCGGGAAGCUUACCGGAUAAGACAGCGGAAUGAUUGCCGGGCUGAAGACUCUGCAUGACCAGCUG